AUUGAACGCUGGCGGCAUGCCUUACACAUGCAAGUCGAACGGUAACGGGCCUUCGGGUGCCGACGAGUGGCGAACGGGUGAGUAAUGUAUCGGAACGUACCUUUCAGUGGGGGAUAACGUAGCGAAAGUUACGCUAAUACCGCAUAUUCUGUGCGCAGGAAAGCAGGGGAUCGCAAGACCUUGCGCUGAUUGAGCGGCCGAUAUCAGAUUAGCUAGUUGGUGAGGUAAAGGCUCACCAAGGCGACGAUCUGUAGCGGGUCUGAGAGGAUGAUCCGCCACACUGGAACUGAGACACGGUCCAGACUCCUACGGGAGGCAGCAGUGGGGAAUUUUGGACAAUGGGGGCAACCCUGAUCCAGCCAUGCCGCGUGAGUGAAGAAGGCCUUCGGGUUGUAAAGACUCUUUCGGCCGGGAAGGAAAUCGUAUCAGCUAAUACCUAGGUGCGGAUGACGGUACCGGCAUAAGAAGCACCGGCUAACUACGUGCCAGCAGCCC
rnacentral:rRNA from 1 species